rnacentral:rRNA from 1 species
UACCAGCACCCCGAGUGGUCGGGACGAUUAUUGGGCCUAAAGCAUCCGUAGCCGGCCUUACAAGUCCUCCGUUAAAUCCAGCUGCUUAACAGAUGGGCUGCGGAGGAUACUAUAAGACUAGGAGGCAGGAGAGGCAAGCGGUACUCAGUGGGUAGGGGUAAAAUCCGUUGACUCCAUGAAGACCACCAGUGGCGAAGGCGGCUUGCCAGAAUGCGCUCGACGGUGAGGGAUGAAAGCUGGGGGAGCAAACCGG